rnacentral:rRNA from 1 species
GGGACGAACGCUGGCGGCGUGCUUAACACAUGCAAGUCAAGGGGGAGUCGCAAGACUCAACCGGCGAACGGGUGCGUAACACGUGAGCGACCUACCUAAUUGUGGGGGAUAGCCGGCCCAACGGCCGGGUAAUACCGCAUACGAUCGGAGAGGGGCAUCCCUUUCUGAGGAAAGCCUUCGGGCGCAAUUUGAGGGGCUCGCAGCCUAUCAGCUAGUUGGCGGGUAACGGCCACCAAGGCGACGACGGGUAGCUGGUCUGAGAGGAUGGCCAGCCACAUUGGGACUGAGAUACGGCCCAGACUCCUACGGGAGCAGCAGUGGGAAUAUUGCGCAAUGGCCGAAAGGCUGACGCAGCGACGCCGCGUGCGGA